ACUAACCUGCACAAUGUGCACAUGUACCCUAAAACUUAAAGUAUAAUAAACAACAACAAAAAAAUUUAUGUUGGGCGCAUUCAAAGCCGUCCUGGGCUGCAUGCUAGCUCCGGGCCGUGGGUUGGGCAAGCUUGAAUGCCUCUGCUGAUCUGACAGGAGGUGGAGCUCAGGCAGUAAUGCUCCCUCACCCGCCGUUCACCUCCUGCUGUGUGGCCUGGCCUCUAACAGACCAUGGACUGGUCUCUGUCUGUGCCCAGGGAUUGGGGACCCUUGUCCUCAAAGACAGAGUGUGCCUCUUUAAAGAUUGCUGUUCUUUCCCUCGCAGUGAACCGGUAAUACGCUCAUUCUGCAAAGACAUUCGAAAGAUGUUUUUGGCCUAACUAGAAUCAAUUCUGUUGAAUUCCCCCAAAUCACAUCCCAAUUCACUUUUUUCCUAAGAAAUCCAAUGUUAAUUUACCCUCGAAGAGCACACAACUCUGGGUGAGUCUCUCUGGCGUCUCAUACCAAUUUUUUUCCCUUUGGCAAUUGGUCUCCAGAUCAUUAAUGUCACAUAUAACUUAGGGCCCAAACAGCCCACACAGCGAUCUCCACAGUGCCUGUCAUGAUGUGGUCGAUUUUGAUGGCAAAAAUAACUAAUUGAAACCCUACGAUUUGUUUACUUUGAAUACAUUAAGGUGGUGGUUAUCAAAUGGAGCUGAAUUAUCCCUUAAAUUACCAUGAAAACAAAAUCAAUAGUUUAUUUACCACACAAAACAAAAGAAAAAAGAAGGAAUAAAAUGCUCUGAGGAAUCUUUAUUAGAAGUUUUCCUUGGAAGAAUACAAUGUAGAUAAACUCAGAGUAAAUAAGGUAUAUGGUAACUUGGAGGAAUAAACUGACCCCUAGUUCAUAAUUGUUUAUUUCUUGGUUCCUAGCUUAUAAAUAGUCCGGUGGGGCCUUUCUAAAGUCUAAAUUUCUUUCUAACCAAGUGAUUAGAAUAAAUGUCCCGUGGUCCAACAAUUGAGUGCAGUGUGGGUGUUUAUACUAUUACUUCAACUAAAUACUGUUGUUUUUUUUUUAGAUGGAGUCUCACUCUGAUGCCCAGGCUGGAGGGCAGCGGCAUCAUCUUGGCUCACUGCAACCUCUACCUCCCGAGUUCAAGCAAUUCUCCUGACUCAGCCUCCUAAGUAGCUGGGAUUACAGGCACACACCACCACACUUGGCUAAUUUUGUAUUUUUAGUAAAGACAGGGUUUCACCAUGUUGGCCAGGCUGGUCUCAAACUCCCCACCUCAGAUGAUCUCCCUGCCUCGGCCUCCCAAAGCGCUGGGAUUACAGGCGUGAGCCACCGCGUCUGGCCGGUACUUCAACUAAAUAUUUAAGAUUAUUAGUACAUUGAGCUCAUCAAUGCUUCCACUUUGGGGUCCAAGAGCAAAACUGGAGCUAAUUCAGAUUAUCACCACCUAAGUUGCUUACUUUUAAAAAUUAUUAUUAUUUUUAAAUUUGGAAUGUCUCAGGGUUUCUGCUCCAAUUCAUAAUUCCUGUGUCUUUAGUGGAAAUGUCAGUACUUUAUAGGAUGACACACACAGCAUUAUUCCUGGCUGUUGAGACACCAAAAAGCCUGAUUUACUGUUCCUUCCAGAGGAUCCCCAACACCGACAUUGACUAAAUUCCUUUUCUGCAAGCAUCCUGGCAGAUGUUCUGGUUAAGACCUUGCACCGUCACGAGCUCAUCCUUUUCAUGCUCCAACAGCUGUUGAGUGCUGUGUAGCCACCACCCAAGCAUCUGACAUGUCGAUUUCAUUCUAGAGCCCAGCUGGAACCCUAAGAGGUUGAAAGUGGAGUUUUGUCUCCUCUGCAGUGGACACUCAAAGAACUAGCCAGGAUGGGUUGGACCUGGGAGCAGAGAGACCAUGGCUCCCUUCCAAGGCUGGGAGAAGGGAGUUGCCACUCCUUCCCAAUCAAACCAUGCCAAGAACGAGGCUUUUGCAGGGAAAUCAGUGCAGAUGAGAACUUACCAACAGUUAAGAUGAAUAAAUAUAUCCAACUGCCUGGCCCAUGUCAACACGCAACAAUUAUUUGCUAAAAGAAAUAAAAAAGGGGCCGGGCAGGGUGGCUCAUGCCUAGAAUCACAGCACUUUGAGAGGCUGAGGCAGGCAGAUCACUUGAGGCCAGGAGUUUGAGACCAGCCUGGCCAACAUGGUGAAACCCUGUCUCUACUAAAAAUACAAAAAUUAGCCGGGUGUGGUGGUGCGCACCUGUAAUCCCAGCUACUCUGGAGGCUGAGACAGGAGAACUGCUUGAACUCGGGAGGCAGAGGUUGCAGUGAGCCAAGAUGCACCAGUGCACUCCAGCCUGGGUGAUAGAGUGAGACUCCAUCAAGAAAGAGAGAGAGAGAGAGAAGAAAGAAAAAGAAAGAGAGAGAGAGAAAGAAAGAAAGAGAGAGAGAGAGAGAGAAAGAAAAGAAAGAAAGAAAAGAAAGAAAGAACGAAAGAAGAAAGAAAGAAAGAAAGAAAGAAAGAAAGAAAGAAAGAAAGAAAGAAAGAAAGAAAGAAAGAAAAGAAAGACUGACUGCAUGAACAACAGCCCAGGAAACACAAGAGAAGUAGCGUGGAGUAGUGGCCAAGGAUGGGUGCUAGAAUCUCAGAGCCUAUAUCUGUAUAUCAAGAUGUCUCAGGCCAAUGCCUAAAAACAGUGUUCAAUAAAUAUCGAAUAGUAAUAUUACUACUGUUAUCACAAUUGAGAAUAACUGAGUGUCAACCAGCUGAUCUGCUUGCCAAUGAAGGGACUCCAGGAUCCUUAAGUCACUUCUAUUUUUCUCCACUUCCCUGGCAACUUUUUCUCCAAGACUAGAUCGAUUCAACACUCCUCCAAGUCCUGGGUUAACCUCAGUGGCCCUCUGCCUCCCAUUGUGAUCACCUUCGUCCACAGCAAUCUUUUCCUUCUCCGACAGCACAUUAUUACCUUGUCAUUGGGCACUUGAAGUAGACAUCCUUUGACAUCCUCUGUGAAUGUUACCUUAUUUCAUUCCUUGUUUUCCCAGCAUGUAAUGGGCAAACAAGGCCCUUCAAAAAACAGAUCUGACCCUGUUGACUUCUGCAGACACAUCUAGCAUCUCUUUCAACUUGAAAAAUCAUGUCUAUAUUCCUGCAUUCCUAAGCUACCAGCUAAAUUUUUUAUAAGUUUAAAUUUAUAUUUGGAUGUAAUUAUAUAUUUAUAAAUUACAUAUAUAUUUUAUAUUUUUAAGAUAUUUACUUGUGUAAAAUAAAUAAAUAAAUGGGUAAAAUUUUCAGCAUAUUGUAAAUACUGGAUAUUUUAAGAGAAAACCGUAAUAUAACUUAAAGUAUGUCCAACUGAGGCUCAAUACGAUUGUGAUUUGAUACCUGUCAUAAUUGAUUUUUAAAAAAAUACAUACAGGAGCUUCUCAUGGUUAGGAACUUUUCAUUGUUCUUUAUUCCCCUUGAACUUGUACACCCCUAGAAGAAUUUGAUCAUAAUGUAUCAUAGUUUUAUUCUUGGAAGUUUUUUUUAUUGAUUACUCUAUCACAUAUCACUGACUGCAACAAAAAUAUGCUCAUACAUUUACAUUUAAAUUUAAAAAAUGUCUCUGACUAUAAGUCUUUACAUUUUAAAAUAAGUUUUUUUUUAAACUUAUCAUUAUGGAUGAUCAUUCUGGUUGUUCGCAGAACACAAUUGAUCAAAGCAGCAUAAGUAUGGCAGAGCUCAGGAUAAAGAAUUAUUAAUCUGAAAAAAGUAAAAUUAUUUGGCUAUUCUUCUCUUAGUAUGAUAGGUGGGAUUUUUUUUUCCAUUAAUGUAUUCAUGAAUAUUACUUGUUAUUUUAAGGAGGCAGUUUCAUCAUCAAUUUUAUUCACACCGUUUUGUUUUUAUUGGUGUAAGCACUGAGCAUUCGUUCACAUAAACAAGCAGAUGGGAAAGGGGGGCCUUCUGUUGGAAGCCACGCACUUGUUUGGACUCCUUCCAGGUUAUGUGCCAAAAAUCACACAAUGAUUUAUCAUAAAAAUAUUUUUGAUAAUCUAUGAGCUGACAUCCCUAUUAGGUUCCUCUUCAAUUUCAGUGAAAGUGAAGAAUUGAAAACAAUUUGACUGUAAAGGGAUGUGGUUCCAGUUAUACACCCAGAUGGGGUACCCAGUUGUCAGAGAUGUUUGUGUUCUCAAUGCUCAGGCUAAUAUUUCAAAAUGUGUCUUUGCCUGAUGCCCUGAAGGACUUUUCCCAGGAGGGGAAAACGCCUUUGUAAGACGCAAGCUGGGUGAUGGCUUUUGUGUGAGGACGUCUUCCACCAUCCACCCUUCCCCAUCCUCCUUCUGUCCUGGGAGGCUGGUUGCAUGGACCACAGCAAUGGGCUCCCUUCUCUGCUGCUUCCAAGUUAUGUUCCCUGCCAGUGGUUGGAGGUCAGGGCAGGGAAGAAUAAAGUUGGGCUCCAUCUGUGGGAUGACCCAGGGUGGCUGCAUCUCUCUCAGGAAGGUCACAGCUCCUUCACAUUCUACACAGCCUCUCCUGUCUCCAGAUUCUGGAAACCUCUUUCUUCUCUAACUCUGCACAGGGCCCCACUAACCCUAGAGAGCUGCACUAUCCUUUGUGGCUUUCUUUACUUCACCCACACCUUUAUAAACAUUUCCUGUAUUAAACUUUCUUCGAAUUACCCAAUUUGAGUGUGCUUUCUGUUUUGUGUUAGUAUCCU
rnacentral:lncRNA from 1 species